CUUACAUAUUUAUUUUUACUACUGGGACAAAUAUAUUUAUCGUUAGACCCAUACGUCCUCUCCCAUCUAAGAUCCCCACAUACAUUCCACGUCUUUCUACCACUUGAUAUUGCUUUACACGCAUCAAAUAGCAGAGCACCUGAAGAAUAUACGGAUUCUAAUACCGUCUUAUUAAUUAGGGUUCCCUGAGGAUCUCCAUUUCUGAGAGUCAACCAAAUUGUACGGGGUUGAUACUCAGGACUGAAG